ACAACUAAUCACGAUGGAUAUCUUGGCUCUUGAAACGAUGAAGAACGCAGCGAAAUGCGAUAGGUAAUGCGAAUUGCAGAACUCUGUGAGUCAUCAAAUCUUUGAACGCACAUUGCACUUCCUUUGGGAGUAUACUUGUUUGAGUAUUGGUAAUCGGUUCUAACGAUGGUUGAAGAUUGGCUGUGUGGAACAGCUGAAAGGGAAGAGUGGAAUGAAUUGGGUGGGUGCCAAAUUCAUCUCUAUGAAAUUGGCGUUUUACAAAGACGCAAACCCUAAUCUCAAAUCAAGUAAGAAGACCUGCUGAAUUGAAGCAUCUAACUAAGCAGAGGAAAAGAAAAUAACAAUGAUUCCCUUAGUAACGGCGAGUGAAGUGGGAGAAGCCCAAGCCAAAAUCACUGUAAAGUGAGUUGUAGUGUGAAGACUGGUGUGAAGGUGAAGAAGCAUCGAAUUUGAUUGGAAAGUCAAGUCCUAGAAGGUGAAAACCCUGUAAGAUGCCUUACUCAUCAAAACAAUACCAGUUCGUGGAGUCGAGUUGUUUGGGAUUGCAACUCGAAGUUGGUGGUAAACAUCAUCAAAGGCUAAAUAGUGUCAAGAGACCGAUAGCGAACAAGUACCGUGAGGGAAAGAUGAAAAGAACUUUGAAAAAAGAGUGAAAUAGUACUUGAAAUCGUGGUUAGGUUAAGCGCAGAGGCUGAGUGGUAUUGUAGAACUUGUGUCCUUUACAGUUGUGAAGGGUUUAAGUUGUAUGAUAGGUGUUUGUGGUGUUUGUCUCCUCCAACCUAGAGGGGGAUGAGCACCCCACACACAAAAUCAACCUCUUCGUCCCGUCUUGAAACACGGACCAAGGAGUCUAUCAUGGAUGCGAGUACGUUGGUGUCAAACCAAAGUGCGUAAUGAAAGUAAAUCGUGUGAUCAUUGAAAGAUGCGCAACAUGUGCCGAUCUGGAUUCUCUGAAGAAAGAUUCGAGUAAUAGCAUUUAUGGUGGGACCCGAAAGAUGGUGAACUAUGCCUGAAUAGGACGAAGCCAGGGGAAACUCUGGUGGAGGUUCGAGUGGAUUCUAACGUGCAAAUUGAUCUUUAAAUUUGGGUAUAGGGGCGAAAGACUAAUCGAACCAUCUAGUAGCUGGUUCCUUCCGAAAUUUCCCUCAGGAUAGCUGCAACUUAUGAAAUAGUUUUAUGAGGUAAAGCGAAUGAUUAGAGGCUUCGGGAAUGUACUAUUCUUGACCUAUUCUCAAACUUUAAAUGGGUAAGAAGCAGUUGAUGUUUAGUUAAUCAGCUGUGAUGAAUAUGAGUUGCAAGUGGGCCAUUCCGGGUAAGCUGGACUGGCGAUGCGGGAUCAACCGAACGCUAUGGUACGGCGCCUGAUUAUUCGCUCAGUAGGACGUAAAAGGUGUUAGUUCAUCUAGACAGCAGGACGGUGGCCAUGGAAGUCGGAAUCCGCUAAGGAGUGUGUAACAACUCACCUGCCGAAUGAAGUAGCCCUGAAAAUGGAUGGCGCUCAAGCGAAUAGCCUAACCAUAGCCAUUCAACUUAGUCGUAAAGUUGAAUGAGUAGGAAGGCGUGAUGGAGGUAGAGAAGACUAGCGUGUGAACGCAGUUGGAACGUCCAUUAGUGCAGAUCUUGGUGGAAGUAGCAAAUAUUCAAAUGAGAUCUUUGAAGACUGAAGUGGAGAAAGGUUCCAUAGGAAUCGUGAUGAUCUAUGGGUUAGUCGAUCCUAAGAGAUAGGUGAAAUCCAUUGAAAGGAUGACGUUGGUCAUCGUCUAUCGAAAGGGAAUCAGGUUAAUAUUCCUGAACCAAUAGAAGUGUGUCGGUAACGGUAUUGGGAUUGAAGACAUUGAUGGUACUCCUGGGAAGAGUUGUCUUUUCUUGUUAACAAAUGGCAGUCCUUGGAAUAAAUUCAGUUUGCGAGAAGGAUUGUGGUUUGGUAAAGGUUCCUGGUUGUUGGGAGCUCUGGUGCAGUAUCAGCAGUCCUUGAAAAUUCAAUCUCAACGUAACUUCUAUUGUUCGUACUCAUAACCGCAUCAGGUCUCCAAGGUGAAUAGCCUCUAGUUAAUAGAAUAAUGUAGGUAAGGGAAGUCGGCAAAUUAGAUCCGUAACUUCGGGAAAAGGAUUGGCUCUGAGGGCUAAGCAGAAUGAGUAUUGGUUAGGAAACGGCUUGUGGUGCAUGGGUUUGUUGUGCCUUCGGGUGUGAUGAAUGUGUGUGCUAUGAAAAGGGCCCUGACCUCUACUUCCCUGCAAUGAAUAGCUAACUCAGAACUGGUACGGACAAGGGGAAUCCGACUGUUUAAUUAAAACAAAGCAUUGUGAUGGUGUGAAAGAUAUGUUGACACAAUGUGAAUUCUGCCCAGUGCUCUGAAUGUCAAAGUGAAGGAAUUCAACCAAGCGCGGGUAAUGGAUUAAUGAGAUUCCCACUGUCCCUAUCUACUAUCUAGCGAAACCACAGCCAAGGGAACGGGCUUGGAAGUAUCAGCGGGGAAAGAAGACCCUGUUGAGCUUGACUCUAGUCUGACAUUGUGAAAUGACUUGAGAGGUGUAGCAUAGGUGGGAGAAGCAAUUCGAUCCUGAAAUACCACUACUCUUAAUGUUGUUUUACUUAUUCCAUGAGAUGGUAAUGAGUUGUAAGACUCAUUAAAGCCUUAAACUUGUAAGAGUGAACCACGUGGGAAACAGUGUUAGGUUGGGAGUUCGGCUGGGGCGGCACAUCUGUUAAAGAAUAACACAGGUGUCCUAAGAUGAGCUCAAUAAGAACAGAAAUCUUAUGUAGAACAAAAGGGUAAAAGCUCAUUUGAUUUUGCUUUUCAGUAUGAAUACAAACUACGAAAAUAUGGCCUAUCGAUCCUUUAGAUAUUUGAAGUUUUAAGCUAGAGGUGUCAGAAAAGUUACCACAGGGAUAACUGGCUUGUGGCGGCCAAGCGUUCAUAGCGACGUCGCUUUUUGAUUCUUCGAUGUCGGCUCUUCCUAUCAAGUAACAGCAGCAUAUUACAAAUGUAGGAUUGUUCACCCAUUAAUAGGGAACGUGAGCUGGGUUUAGACCGUCGUGAGACAGGUUAGUUUUACCCUACUGAUGAAGCGAUUAUCGUAACAGUAAUCUAACUUAGUACGAGAGGAACCGUUAGUUGCACCCUUCAUGAAUGGACUUAGUUGAGUAGCUAGUGGUCCGAACGGGCGGUGCUUUGGCGUAGGGUUGAAAGCCUCUAAACCUGGAGCCUAGCUGAAGUCAUACGAUGAUUCCCUUGCAAAAGGGAGGCAGUGAUGAUUUGAGGAAGAAUACGUGGUUCUUUGGAAUCAUGGAGACCUAUGAGUAGAACAAUAAAUCAAAUGGCACUGUCUGGGCGAUCGUUUGCAGACGACUUAUCAUUUCCCAAGGAUUGUACGU
rnacentral:rRNA from 1 species